GACGAACGCUGGCGGCGUGCUUAACACAUGCAAGUCGAACGGAAAGGCCCUGCUUUUGUGGGGUGCUCGAGUGGCGAACGGGUGAGUAACACGUGAGUAACCUGCCCUUGACUUUGGGAUAACUUCAGGAAACUGGGGCUAAUACCGGAUAGGAGCUCCUGCUGCAUGGUGGGGGUUGGAAAGUUUCGGCGGUUGGGGAUGGACUCGCGGCUUAUCAGCUUGUUGGUGGGGUAGUGGCUUACCAAGGCUUUGACGGGUAGCCGGCCUGAGAGGGUGACCGGCCACAUUGGGACUGAGAUACGGCCCAGACUCCUACGGGAGGCAGCAGUGGGGAAUAUUGCACAAUGGGCGGAAGCCUGAUGCAGCAACGCCGCGUGCGGGAUGACGGCCUUCGGGUUGUAAACCGCUUUCGCCUGUGACGAAGCGUGAGUGACGGUAAUGGGUAAAGAAGCACCGGCUAACUACGUGCUAGCAGCCGCGGUGAUACGUAGGGUGCGAGCGUUGUCCGGAUUUAUUGGGCGUAAAGGGCUCGUAGGUGGUUGAUCGCGUCGGAAGUGUAAUCUUGGGGCUUAACCCUGAGCGUGCUUUCGAUACGGGUUGACUUGAGGAAGGUAGGGGAGAAUGGAAUUCCUGGUGGAGCGGUGGAAUGCGCAGAUAUCAGGAGGAACACCAGUGGCGAAGGCGGUUCUCUGGGCCUUUCCUGACGCUGAGGAGCGAAAGCGUGGGGAGCGAACAGGCUUAGAUACCCUGGUAGUCCACGCUGUAAACGGUGGGUACUAGGUGUGGGGUCCAUUCCACGGGUUCCGUGCCGUAGCUAACGCUUUAAGUACCCCGCCUGGGGAGUACGGCCGCAAGGCUAAAACUCAAAGGAAUUGACGGGGCACCGCACAAGCGGCGGAGCAUGCGGAUUAAUUCGAUGCAACGCGUAGAACCUUACCUGGGUUUGACAUGGAUCGGGAGUGCUCAGAGAUGGGUGUGCCUCUUUUGGGGUCGGUUCACAGGUGGUGCAUGGCUGUCGUCAGCUCGUGUCGUGAGAUGUUGGGUUAAGUCCCGCAACGAGCGCAACCCUUGUUCACUGUUGCCAGCACGUUAUGGUGGGGACUCAGUGGAGACCGCCGGGGUCAACUCGGAGGAAGGUGGGGAUGACGUCAAGUCAUCAUGCCCCUUAUGUCCAGGGCUUCACGCAUGCUACAAUGGCUGGUACAGAGAGUGGCGAGCCUGUGAGGGUGAGCGAAUCUCGGAAAGCCGGUCUCAGUUCGGAUUGGGGUCUGCAACUCGACCUCAUGAAGUCGGAGUCGCUAGUAAUCGCAGAUCAGCAACGCUGCGGUGAAUACGUUCCCGGG
rnacentral:rRNA from 1 species